UACGAAGGGGGCUAGCGUUGCUCGGAUUUACUGGGCGUAAAGGGCGCGUAGGCGGACAGUUAAGUUGGGGGUGAAAGCCCGGGGCUCAACCUCGGAACUGCCUUCAAUACUGGCUGUCUUGAGUGUGAGAGAGGUGUGUGGAACUCCGAGUGUAGAGGUGAAAUUUGUAGAUAUUCGGAAGAACACCAGUGGCGAAGGCGACACACUGGCUCACUACUGACGCUGAGGCGCGAAAGCGUGGGGAGCAAACAGG
rnacentral:rRNA from 1 species